AGGGGGGUGGCAAUAAAUAUUAAGCAAUGAGCUAAGCCUCAAGCCUUCAAUAGAACUGUGGGGAAAUGGCAGACAACUGGAAGCAGGAUGGAGGGGAAAAAGGUCACUUUGAUACUCAUGUCUUUAUUUCAUCAUCAUUAGCUGAUCCAAAAUAUGAUGAAGAUACUUUUUUUUAUGUUCCCUGUGUUGCUGCUGAUGACUUGUGUAUGUGAUCAUUUGGACAGAUGUGAGGGGGGGGGAAUAGAUACAAUUGGGGAUUUGCUCUCAUCAUACUUUAGUAGAAUUAGUAGGAUAUUUCGUGUUAUUCUUGAGUCAGGUACGUGGCUUUUGAAGUUUUAUGGACUGCUAUCUAUCGGGCUUAGUUUGGAGUAUUUAGGGUGUGUGCAGAAGUGAGGAUGUGCACCAACUCUUUAUUGGUCAUAAAGGGUGUGGUUUAUGAAGUUUGAUAAAAAACUGCUAUAAAAGAAUCCAAAAGUCCAUUGAGGUUUUUAUUAAGGCAUGUCUAGUGGAGGGGGAGUAGUGCCAACUCAAGACGCCUAAUUUUGCAGGAGCUGUUAAGAAAAACUUUGUCUCGCAUUUGAAUAAACUAGGGGUAUGCAAACCGGAUCCACCAUUCACAUACAGUACAGUUCAUGUUGACAGAGUUUACACAGAGUUGUGCUUAUUCAGGUGGAGAGGUGUGCUUUGUGUGUGUCCAAGUGUCAACAUUUCAAAAGGGGUUUAAGUCUGUGUGUGUGCUGUAAUGAACAAGUGAGGAGAUGGAUCAUCUGCCACUCCAGUGCUCACUUUGUUCUCUCUCCUCAUCUUUUCUUUGGUCUGUUUUUUUUUAUCCUUUUAGGUGUGGACGGAUGUUGGCUGGAGGUUGCUGUCUGCCGAGCAGGAUUGUGGGAGGAGGCCGGUUUAGUCGGAGGGAUUCCUGGCAGAGUGAUUUGUUUUUUUGAUGUAAUGAAAAUCACAUUGCCAGGGAUUUCCAACCGGUUACAACUGUAACGCACACGGCAAUCUCAACCGGAACAGAAUGCACUCAGCUGCCACUACAUUAGGUACACCUCGACUGUAUCGAACAUAUUCCCUUUUUUUUUUUUUUUAACACAGAACAUUUAGGUGGGGAAUUUUGGUAUACAACAUAUUAAAUGUUAGGUACUUAAAAUGUUUAUUCUCGUAAAAUGGACAAGAGACAAUGUUGGCUCUAACAUGGGGUGGACAAACUUUGGAAAGUUGAUGAAAAUUAGUUUAUUUAAUGGUGUAGUAAUAAUACCUUGUAAAUUUAAAUUGUAAUUGUCAGGGAUUUAUUUAGAAAGCAGCUUUUGGAGUUUUUGUAAUCACGUUCGUGCGCGAGGCUCACUAAUCAACAUUACAGCGACAUUCCCAAACUGCUGCCUAUAAUUUAGGCAAUCCAUGACAAAGUUGUUGUUGAAAAUCUUCCAUUUGAAGGCUUUUGGGAAUAGGAAUAAUAUGCCACACUGUAGCACAAACCAUCUGGAUGCCUCAAGAGUUUGGACGAGGCGCAGGACUUAGCUUGCUCCGUGAACAGUUCAGUAGAAAAUCCUGUGUUCACAGUGGCUAAGUUCCGCUUCUCGCGAGCCUUUCCAGCGUUUUGAAGCGCCGCUGUUGUAACAGCUGCAAAGAGUCAACGUGGGAUCAACUAUUAUGAAGUUAGGCGCUACACGUUGCCCAGUCGACUGCUAUAGUAGCAAAAAAAAGCAUUUGACUUUUUUUUUAAUGUGUUAGUGUCAACUCUGUCAAAGCAUUGAAAGGUGUAGAUUAAAAAUCUGACUGGUGCUAACUGUCAAGAUGGUGAAAGGGAUCUGUGGCUUUAAAAGUUGUAUUAAUAAAAAAAAUGAUCUAAAAGUACCAAUUGGUUCUUUACUAUGACUGUUACUGCUAAUUCAGUAUAUUGAAGUGCAUACGAGUUUCGUAAAGACUGCUUUAAAAGUAUGUGAUGGGCUUUGUUUUAUCCAGGUCAAGUUGGGUGGAAAUGUUGAGAGGACGUGAGGCUUAAAAAGUUCUGUUAAGGCUGCUUUAAGAGUGUCCUUUGGGCUUUGUUUGGACUUCUUUGGGACAUGUUGGCUUAAGAAGCUGCAGUAUGGCAGAGCAUAGAAGGAGGGAUGGCUGAGUCACACACCGGAAGGAAAUACAGGAAAUGUCUCAUCGGGGGCGAGGGAAACAAGUAGCAGCGUAAUUGUGAACUCUGAGCGCAAUUGCUAUCUGGGUGGUCAACAACGGAAGCUGCAUCCAAGGUGACAUGUGUGUGUGUGUUUGUUUACUGUGAAUGUAAAGCUUUACGAAUCCCGGCCACUUCGACCGCAACGCUGCUGAUACUCUUAUGUAAGGUAUUUGUCAUAAAAGGAGCAGUGAAAAAGCUCGCAGCCAACAACCGAGGGAAAUCCAAGCCAAACGUGAGGAAAUAAUCCAUUUUAUGUUCUUUUCUAUAGAUGGAAAGCUAUGACAUGUUCAUCACAUUAGAGCUAUAAUGAGGAAUAAAUACCAUCAAUAAAAAUAAAAAAAAUACAAAAAUAAAAAGUAUUUGCCAAAAAACCCAAAAAAUGUUAGUUGAAAGAUGUUUCAAUUUACUCGAACUUUAUGUAACAUUUGCCAUAGAGUGGAAGAGCAAAUAGUUGUGCUGCCUGUCACAACUCAUUUAUAGCAUGCCAGAUAAACAAAGGUGGGAAAUUAUUUUGGGACAAGUGAAGUGAAAUUUCCCACAGCACACCUGAUGACACGGCACAGUUUGGGAAUGACCGACCACCAGUUACAAUUUCCAGGGAAACCUGGCCACGGUGGCAAGUUUUGCUUGCGUAUGCUCUACCUCUCCCCCUAGUGGCAAACAGGCGGCGGUGCGCGGUUGUCUGGGCUCAACCUCCUGUGCCUACUGAGCUGAUAACAGUUGGAUGUUCACCAAGCACUGGCUCAGUUCAGCAGGAACCGGAGUUAGGCCCCCUCGAAAUGGCAACGGAUACGCCGCCCGUCACCAUCCCAUGAAAAAUGUAACUUUUGCUUCUUACAUGUCAAUAAAAUGAGUU